CCCUGGAGACAUACAAGAUCGAUGAGGAACCGCGUGCUGCACUCUAUGUUGUCAUGUUGAAUGGAAGCAACAACGGCACCGAGGAAACAUGAGUUUAUCGUUCAAAAGAGGUCUCUGAAAUUUUAGAGGGUUGUGGUAUAUGAAUCAUUGCUGGAUGAGGAAAGGAGUGGGGGAGGAUCUGCAGUUUCAUGCAGCAUUGUACGAUGGAUUUAUAUGGCUGCCUGACUAGGAUGCUGGUGCCUGCAUACGAGCUGAUGUUCGGGAAGCCAUCCCUCCAUAGA